rnacentral:rRNA from 1 species
GACGUAGGAUGCAAGCGUUGUCCGGAUUUAUUGGGCGUAAAGAGUUCGUAGGUGGUUUGUUAAGUCUGAUGUAAAAGACCGGGGCUCAACUUCGGGACUGCAUUGGAUACUGGCAGACUUGAGUGUGGUAGAGGCAAUCGGAAUUCCAGGUGUAGCGGUGAAAUGCGUAGAUAUCUGGAGGAACACCGGUGGCGAAGGCGGCAUCCUGGACCGGCAUUGAC